rnacentral:rRNA from 1 species
UACGUAGGGUGCAAGCGUUGUCCGGAAUUAUUGGGCGUAAAGAGCUCGUAGGCGGUUCGUCGCGUCGGCUGUGAAAACCUGAGGCUCAACCUCAGGCCUGCAGUCGAUACGGGCGGACUUGAGUACUGCAGGGGAGACUGGAAUUCCUGGUGUAGCGGUGAAAUGCGCAGAUAUCAGGAGGAACACCGGUGGCGAAGGCGGGUCUCUGGGCCGAUACUGACACUGAGAAGCGAAAAGCGUGGGGGAGCGAACAGGG